CCAAAAAACGACUCGUGAUUGUCUACGCGUCUCUCUGACCAUUUUAUAUGCGGUUCGAUUCCCGACUGGACCAGGAAUGUGUGCAACCUUGUACGCUACAGAUCUGCUCUGGGGCACUCACAGCCUUCUAUACAAUGAGAACCUGGAUAAAGCGACCAUAGCUUCAGGCUAACCUUUCACCUUCUUAAUUUCGAGGAAGGAUGACCAAUACACGACGUUUAAAAUAAGGAAGGAGAAUGGGAAGAAGAAUCGAGAUAUUUUAUCGAUGUACAACGCCGUCUGGCGUCCGUUGCAGAAAGUAGCGUACUGUGGGGUCACAGACAGCGACCUGAUGGGGCUUCGAACUGUGGGUCCCUCGUCCUGUAAGCAAACAACAGACGAAAGUGAAUUUGUUUGGAUGUGAUUAAGUGAAGGCAAGUCUAUAAGCUGCGAGAUCUGGUUUUGUGACUCUUUUGUACUUAAAAAUGUAUCAAGUGAUGAUCGCAGUGGACAUGACUUUGAAUUUUAUGUGUGCAUUUGUCCGUAGAUGUGAAUUAGCUCUAUCGAUUGUG